CUUGCGGUUUGGUCGGGUAUUAAUGAGGGAGGUGGCCACUGGCCAUCAAAAUGCUGUUGGAGAGCUGGAGAAACCUGUGUCACCACCAAGUCUGAUCCUCCCACUGUGUAGCUAGAGAAACCGCCAGUCUUCGCCUCUGGAACUAGCUGGAGAUCACUAAGGCUCCCGAGCCCCUCAAAGGUUGCCUGUGGCAUGAAUUCUCCUCUACCUCUCUUCUACGUCAACCAGCUCUGGUAUGGACAUUUUCCUUCCUAAGGAGUGCUUACGGAAAUGCUUUUCACUAUAGAAAACAAAAUCAGGGAUUCCAUCUCCCGCUACCUGCUGGCAGCCAGGAUGGGAGCAGAGGACCUAGACUCAGUCAAUUAGAAAUUCCCACUGGGCCUCAGCGUGCGUCCAUUUGUGUGGAUUCCCAUGAGAGGCGUGGCUGCUGCAACCGUCCAGAACCCGUAGAUGUGGUGUUCGGUGGCGGGCGAUCCCCUGGCAGGAACAAUAGGAAUGCAGCAGGGGAGGAUGCAUCCGGGUCUUCAGAGAUGCCCCUUGCGCCUCCACACCUUGCUCACCAAAUCAGGGUUUACUUGUGAAGGCUGGAGGAGAACAAGCUGUCCCAUUCCAAGAAAAGAGCCUGCCACCAGCAACUGGGACUGGGCUGGAAGGCCUGGCCCUUCAACCGCCAGACAUGGCACCCCAGAGGAGUCCUCCAAAGGACGGAACCCACCCUGCAGCAGCCUUCCUCUGCCAGAGGCCUGGGCCUGAGGUGUGUCUGUCUCCACUGAGCCAUUCCCGGAAGUAGCCAGAUGAGCUGCCCCUUCCAUUCCCACCGACACCCGGGCUUCGCUUGUCUCUCGGCCUUCAGUUUGCUCAGGGAGUGAGAAGAAAUACAAAGCACCAGCCUGUAACGGGGCCACACUGGGCCCAGAGAGGGCAGGAGGGGCAGCAGGCAGAGUCCAGGAGAUCUUCAGUCCAGGGGGCAGUCAGGACUGGCAGGAGGGAACCUGGCUGGGCAGAGACCGGGCAGCUCUGGCCCCCUCCCUUCCUGCUCCAUAGCACAGAAGGCUAUGCUUCAGCCGAAACCGAUGCAUAGAAAAGGGGCUGGAGUUUUUGCGGUUUCCAGGGCUUUGGUGAGAACCAGGCCUGUCUGUUCCCUGCCUUCAGGAAGCCCAGGUCUCGUAGGGGACACAGGUGGCUUCAUGCUUAGGUGGAAACUGCAAGAGGCACACACAAGUAGGAGGGUUGCCUCGAACCCUCCACUUCCUGACAUCCCCCUCCUCUUCUCCAGCACCACAGACUCUGAGAGGCCGAGAAGCCAGAUGCUUGCUUCUACCUCCAUGCCAACUUUAUUGCCCUCACAGCAGGGCUGAGACAGAUCCUGGGAAGUGACCUGAGGAGACCCAAGUACCCUUUCCUGGGGUGGGGGACCCCCAGUCCCACCCAGAGACCUCCACCUACCCCAUACUGACAUCUUUGCUGGUCCCAGCCCAGGGGGGAGGUCAGGAACCAGGAUGCAGUGCCCCAGGCUCCAGGGGCCCCAUCGGGCUCAGGUCGUCUGUCUCUGGACCACCUGGCCGACCUCCCAGGCACCACCAACCCUGCCCAUUGUCUGAAGCGACUGAAAACGGGGUCCCUGGGCAGGACAUGUGCCUUCCACCCACGCCAUUCCUCUGGCCUGGUCUCCCUGGCCUGCUGGGGCUGUCCCCUCACUAGACCAGGCUCCACCUGCUCGGGAUGCGCAGGACAAGGAAGGGGUCCGGGCAUUGGUGAGCUGUGCUCCCCUGGGCUCCGCAGGUCAGGAGGGAGGCCCGGGGGUGUAGGGAGGGCUCACUGGGGUUAGGGGAUCACAUGGGGCGGGAGGCCGCCUUUCAUCCGGCUGUGUGAAGCAGACCUGCCCUCCCCCCGGCCAAGCCUACUGGCAUUGGCAUGCGCCAUAAAUCUCCAGGAUGCUGCAGCUAUGACUGGAUUAUUUAUAGCUCCAGUCUUACAUUUCUAACACGAAAAUAUCACACAAAGAGAAAGGUAAUGAAAUCUCACCUCUCCUGCAUGUCCCUCACUCCACACUGCAGGGCUUUCCAGAAGCCCUCCUGGCUGAAGCAGGGAUGAGGGAGGCUGGCCUCCUCCUCCACCGGGCUCCCCCCAUCCUCCCUCCCCCUCCUGUCAAUCACGCACACUUCUCAGCUGCACAUCCUCCCAGACACAUUCCCUCUCAGACACAUUCGCACACAUGUUGUUCUCUCUCUCUCUCUCUCUCUCUCUCUCUCUCUCUCUCUCUCUCUCUCUCUCUCUCUCUCUCUCGUGAGCGCGCGCGCGCGUACAUUUCCUCUCAGAUGCAGAGGAUUCUGUUCAGCCUCUCCCUCCCUCUCCGCUCACCCUGCCUGUUCCCCCAGACGUGCUCCACACACCUCUGCCCUUUCCCUUCCACAGCCGUCUCCCUGUGUGACUCACCCGCUUCCGGCGUGUUUGCUUUUUUGCUUUGUCAAUGAAGCCGCUGGCACAUUAAUUACCAGGCCUGUCCUCUGCCGAGGCACAUCAGCUCCUUGUCAGUCACUGGGGGAAGUGUCAGCUUGCAUCCGUCUCCUUCUGCCUUCAAGAAUCCCGUGGGCAUUGCCUCCCCAGGGGGACCUGCUUUGCGGCACGUGGCAGUGAGGGCACGUGUCCCUGGGCUUGACAUAGCCAGACACCCAGAAAACACAGGCCACUGAACGAGCCUCUUGCCAGCAGUCAGGAGCACCUACGGGUGUCUCUGCAAAGCCGCCCUCCCCCCGUUUUAGAGUCUCACGGUGUUGCAGGGCUGCGGGCCUUCCAUAAGGCCUGCCCGUGGGCGUUGGGACCACCGCUCACUUAUACCUGGGUAUUCAUUAUAGUUGUGUGUGUGCGUGUGCAUGCGUGUGCGUAUGCACAUGAGCUCCCAUGUACACAUGCUUUUUUCAGUACCUGGGAUGAACCCAGGGGCACUCUACUACUGAGCUACAUCACCGACCUAUUCAUUUUUUUGAAAAAGGAUCUGCCUAAGUGACCUAGGCUGACCUCAAAUUUGCAAUCCUCCUGCCUCAACCUCCCAAGUAGCUGUGAUUACAGGCAUGUAAUCACACCCGGCUAUACCUGUCUUAUGCCAGCAUAAAGGGUGAUCACAGACAAUGACAGUCUACUCUGGGCUGAGUCUGAGUCUGGGGACAGAAACCUAGCAACCCACUAGCAGGGUGGCAUUUCUUGGAAGUCUCUUUCUCGCUCCUUUUGUAUCUAAAAAAAUUCACCUAGCUUGUGGUAUUAUUCAUUGUAUCUGUCAAUUAUCUUAAAUAUCUUAUAAUUAAGUGCUUAACUUUUUUUCCUGAAAUCUUU